rnacentral:rRNA from 1 species
AGAGUGAACGCUGGCGGCAGGCCUAACACAUGCAAGUCGAGCGGCAGCGCGGGGGCAACCCUGGCGGCGAGCGGCGGACGGGUGAGGAAUGCAUCGGAAUCUACCUUGUUGUGGGGGAUAACGUAGGGAAACUUACGCUAAUACCGCAUACGACCUACGGGUGAAAGUGGGGGACCUUCGGGCCUCACGCGAUAAGAUGAGCCGAUGCCGGAUUAGCUAGUUGGUGGGGUAAUGGCCCACCAAGGCGACGAUCAGUAGCUGGUCUGAGAGGAUGAUCAGCCUCAUUGGGACUGAGACACGGCCCAAACUCCUACGGGAGGCAGCAGUGGGGAAUAUUGGACAAUGGGCGCAAGCCUGAUCCAGCCAUGCCGCGUGGAUGAUGAAGGCCUUAGGGUUGUAAAGUCCUUUCGGCGGGGAAGAUAAUGACGGUACCCGCAGAAGAAGCCCCGGCUAACUUCGUGCCAGCAGCCGC